rnacentral:rRNA from 1 species
GAUGAACGCUGGCGGCGUGCCUAACACAUGCAAGUCGAGCGGACGGAGGGGAAGUGUGCUUGGCUGCAGUUAGCGGCGGGCGGGUGAGUCAUAGGUGGAUGCCUUAUCUAUGGGACUGGGGUCAGGUAGGGGACGCGGAUAUAGUACAGGUCAAUAUGGUGAACGGGAGGGUUCAACAGUGCACGAGGGACUUGCUGUCACUUAUAGAGGGUACCGCGCUGGAUUAGCUAGUUGGUACGGUAACGGCCUACCAAGGCUACGAUGCAUAGCUGAUCUGAGAGGGUGAUCAGCCACACUGGAACUGAGACACGGUCCAGACUCCUACGGGAGGCAGCAGUAGGGAAUCUUCCACAAUGGGCGAAAGCCUGACGGAGCCAUGCCGCGUGAGUGAUGAAGGUCUUCGGAUUGUAAAGCUCUGUUAUUUGGGAAGAACAGAUGUAUAAUAAUCCGUGCACAUCUUGACGGUACCAAAACAGAAAGCACCGGCUAACUACGUG